AUUGAACGCUGGCGGCAGGCCUAACACAUGCAAGUCGAACGAGUGGCGGACGGGUGAGUAAUGUCUGGGAAACUGCCUGAUGGAGGGGGAUAACUACUGGAAACGGUAGCUAAUACCGCAUACUAUCAGAUGAGCCUAGGUCGGAUUAGCUAGUUGGUGGGGUAAAGGCCUACCAAGGCGACGAUCCCUAGCUGGUCUGAGAGGAUGACCCGCCCAACUGGAACGGGAUCACGGUCCAGACUCCUACGGGAGGAAGCAGUGGGGAAUAUUGCACAAUGGGCGCAAGCCUGAUGCAGCCAUGCCGCGUGUAUGAAGAAGGCCUUCGGGUUGUAAAGUACUUUCAGCGGGGAGGCGUGACCCGCAGAAGAAGCACCGGCUAACUCCGUGCCAGCAGCCGCGGUAAUC
rnacentral:rRNA from 1 species